GGCUAUGUAGCUCAGUAGGUAAGAGCAUGGCACUCAUAACGCCAAGGUCAGUGGUUCAAAUCCACUCAUAGCCA
rnacentral:tRNA from 1 species